AUACGGAGGAUCCGAGCGUUAUCCGGAUUUAUUGGGUUUAAAGGGAGCGUAGGCGGACGCUUAAGUCAGUUGUGAAAGUUUGCGGCUCAACCGUAAAAUUGCAGUUGAUGCUGGGUGUCUUGAGUACAGUAGAGGCAGGCGGGAUUCGUGGGGGAGCGGUGGAAUGCUUAGAUAUCACGAAGAACUCCGAUUGCGAAGGCAGCCUGCUGGACUGUAACUGACGCUGAUGCUCGAAAGUGUGGGUAUCAAACAGGAUUAGAUACCCUGGUAGUCCACACAGUAAACGAUGAAUACUCGCUGUUUGCGAUAUACAGUAAGCGGCCAAGCGAAAGCGUUAAGUAUUCCACCUGGGGAGUACGCCGGCAACGGUGAAACUCAAAUGAAUUGGCGGGG
rnacentral:rRNA from 1 species